rnacentral:rRNA from 1 species
AACGAACGCUGGCGGCAUGCCUAACACAUGCAAGUCGAACGAAGCCUUCGGGCUUAGUGGCGCACGGGUGCGUAACGCGUGGGAAUCUGCCCUUUGGUUCGGAAUAACAGUUGGAAACGACUGCUAAUACCGGAUGAUGACGAAAGUCCAAAGAUUUAUCGCCAGAGGAUGAGCCCGCGUAGGAUUAGCUAGUUGGUGUGGUAAAGGCGCACCAAGGCGACGAUCCUUAGCUGGCCUGAGAGGAUGAUCAGCCACACUGGGACUGAGACACGGCCGAGACUCCUACGGGAGGCAGCAGGGGGGAAUAUUGGACAAUGGGGGAAAGCCUGAACCAGCAAUGCCGCGUGAGUGAUGAAGGCCCUAGGGUUGUAAAGGUCUUUUACCAGGGAUGAUAGUGACAGUACCGGGAGAAUAAGCCCCGGCUAACUCCGUGCCAGCCGCCGCCGUAA